CCCGGGCCUUGUACACACCGCCCGUCACACCACGAGAGUUUGUAACACCCGAAGUCGGUGGAGUAACCGUAAGGAGGGCGACUACCACGGUGAGAUUCAUGACUGGGGUG
rnacentral:rRNA from 1 species